AGGCUGAUCCACUCCAGAGGA
rnacentral:miRNA from 1 species